CAGUAUGUAGCUUAUAUAAAGCUUUCUAUUUACACUAGUUUGAAAAUUUUUUUAAUUCAUUCUGA
rnacentral:tRNA from 1 species